rnacentral:rRNA from 1 species
GUGGGGAAUAUUGGACAAUGGGCGCAAGCCUGAUCCAGCCAUGCCGCGUGAGUGAUGAAGGCCCUAGGGUUGUAAAGCUCUUUCACCGGAGAAGAUAAUGACGGUAUCCGGAGAAGAAGCCCCGGCUAACUUCGUGCCAGCAGCCGCGGUAAUACGAAGGGGGCUAGCGUUGUUCGGAAUUACUGGGCGUAAAGCGCACGUAGGCGGACAUUUAAGUCAGGGGUGAAAUCCCGGAGCUCAACUCCGGAACUGCCUUUGAUACUGGGUGUCUGGAGUAUGGAAGAGGUGAGUGGAAUUCCGAGUGUAGAGGUGAAAUUCGUAGAUAUUCGGAGGAACACCAGUGGCGAAGGCGGCUUACUGGACUGUAACUGACGCUGAGGCGCGAAAGUGUGGGGAGCAAACAGGAUUAGAAACCCGUGUAGUCC